rnacentral:rRNA from 1 species
UACAGAGGGUGCGAGCGUUAAUCGGAAUUACUGGGCGUAAAGCGUGCGUAGACGGUUACGUAAGUCGGGUGUGAAAGCCCCGGGCUCAACCUGGGAAUUGCAUUCGAGACUGCGUAGCUAGGAUGCGGAAGAGGGAAGCGGAAUUUCCGGUGUAGCGGUGAAAUGCGUAGAUAUCGGAAGGAACACCAGUGGCGAAAGCGGCUUCCUGGUCCAGCAUCGACGUUCAGGCACGAAAGCGUGGGGAGCAAACAGG